rnacentral:rRNA from 1 species
UACGGGGGGGGCAAGCGUUGUUCGGAAUUACUGGGCGUAAAGGGCUCGUAGGCGGCCAACUAAGUCGGAUGUGAAAUCCCCAGGCUUAACCUGGGAACUGCAUCCGAUACUGGAUGGCUUGAAUCCCGGAGAGGGAUGCAGAAUUCCAGGUGUAGCGGUGAAAUGCGUAGAUAUCUGGAGGAAUACCGGUGGCGAAGGCGGCAUCCUGGACCGGCAUUGACGCUGAGUGAGCGAAAGCCAGGGGAGCAAACGGG